rnacentral:rRNA from 1 species
UAGGGAAUAUUGGGCAAUGGAGGGAACUCUGACCCAGCCAUGCCGCGUGCAGGAUGAAGGCGUUAUGCGUUGUAAACUGCUUUUUAUAUAGGAAGAAAUAGUCCUUGCGAGGAAAGUUGACGGUACUAUAUGAAUAAGCACCGGCUAACUCCGUGCCAGCAGCCGCGGUAAUACGGAGGGUGCAAGCGUUGUCCGGAUUUAUUGGGUUUAAAGGGUGCGUAGGCGGUUUAUUAAGUCAGUGGUGAAAGACGGUCGCUCAACGAUUGCAGUGCCAUUGAUACUGGUAGACUUGAGUAUGAUUGAGGUAGCUGGAAUGGAUAGUGUAGCGGUGAAAUGCAUAGAUAUUAUCCAGAACACCAAUUGCGUAGGCAAGUUACUAAGUCAUAACUGACGCUGAGGCACGAAAGUGUGGGUAUCAAACAGGAUUAGAUACCCGGGUAGUCCCUGAGCGGGCUGGCAAGGCGCAU